rnacentral:lncRNA from 1 species
GCAUGUGCUAUAGGAGCAGGCAGGACGGCCUGGGGGAAGAGGUGGGGUGUUUGCAUGGUGAUGUGGUGAGCCUCAGCGUAAGCAGUAUGCAGAGGAUGUGGGGCUAUAGCCGCCUGGCAGGCACCAAAGGAGGUUGAGGCGGGCAGCACAGCUCCACAAACAGCCUGACCCAUGGAUGCCAGCCAGAGGAACUGCCCCCAGCUCUCCUGCAGCCCUCCGGCUGUCCUCGGGGGCCACCCCAGCUGCAGCUGCUCCGUUUGCUGGUGCCGCCUCUUCAUGGUGCGUCUCCUGUGAGUAGAUCAAAUAUGCCUGAUUUUUGUAGAGUGCUGUGAAGAGGCUUUUAAGAGUUCUCAAGGCAAUCAGUGCAGCAUCGUA